UAGGGAAUCUUCGGCAAUGGACGGAAGUCUGACCGAGCAACGCCGCGUGAGUGAAGAAGGUUUUCGGAUCGUAAAGCUCUGUUGUUCGAGAAGAACGUUGGUAGGAGUGGAAAAUCUACCAAGUGACGGUAACUAACCAGAAAGGGACGGCUAACUACGUGCCAGCAGCCGCGGUAAUACGUAGGUCCCGAGCGUUGUCCGGAUUUAUUGGGCGUAAGGCGAGCGCAGGCGGUUCUUUAAGUCUGAAGUUAAAGGCAGUGGCUUAACCAUUGUACGCUUUGGAAACUGUAGGACUUGAGUGCAGAAGGGGUGAGUGGAAUUCCAUGUGUAGCGGUGAAAUGCGUAGAUAUAUGGAGGAACACCGGUGGCGAAAGCGGCUCUCUGGUCUGUAACUGACGCUGAGGCUCGAAAGCGUGGGGAGCAAACAGG
rnacentral:rRNA from 1 species